rnacentral:rRNA from 1 species
UACAGAGGUGCCAAGCGUUAGGCGGAAUCACUGGGCUUAAAGCGCGUGUAGGUGGAUGGGUAAGUAUCUUGUGAAAUCCCACGGCUCAACCGUGGAACUGCUGGAUAUACUGCCUGUCUUGAGGCACUCAGGGGCAGCUGGAACAAAUGGUGGAGCGGUGAAAUGCGUAGAUAUCAUUUGGAACGCCAAAGGCGAAAGCAGGCUGCUGGGAGUGAUCUGACACUGAGACGCGAAAGCCAGGGGAGCAAACGGG